GCCAAUCUCAGUUCGGAUUGUAGGCUGCAACUCGCCUACAUGAAGUUGGAAUCGCUAGUAAUCGCGAAUCAGAAUGUCGCGGUGAAUACGUUCCCCGGGGCCUUGUACACACCGCCCGUCAAGCCAUGGGAGCCGGGGGCGCCUGAAGUCCGGGACCGCGAGGACCGGCCUAGGGCAAACUGGUAACUGGGGCUAAGUCGUAACAAGGUAGC
rnacentral:rRNA from 1 species